UGAUAAGUACUUGUCUUAGGUUCCCA
rnacentral:piRNA from 1 species